rnacentral:misc_RNA from 1 species
CGUCUGUGUCCAACGCUUCUUUCAGUGGAACUUUGAGUUGAAGUACUACCCAAGUCGAGACUGGAAAGUUGCCUUCCCUUGAAAUAGGCCUUUUACCGGUGAUUAACUCUAAAAGCACCACACCAAAGGAAUAUAUAUCAGUCUUAUCACUGAACUGUUGGGUUCUGAAAAAUUCAGGGCAAAGACCAAAGCUUCCCUCUUCUAAAGAAGACGUAUGGGUAAAAUAUGAAAAUUCGUUGGCAAGUCCAAUAUCUGAAAUCUUUGGUUCAAAGUUUUGAU